CAGGAACAACAAUUAAAUUUUAAUGAAGAAUAUAUAGAUCCUUCAAAUGACAAAUUCAAACACUAUUCAUUUAUUCAAUAUAAUUCAAGAAACAAAAAUGAAAUAGUAGAAGACCAAGAAACGCUUUUCUACUUACCUAGUAUGAAGGGCCAAUGCAAUAUUUGCGGUUUAAUAAAUUAUUGCUCCGUUAAACAUGCAAGCGAUUGCAUUCAAGAAAAUAACAACGUCAAGUGUUCGCAAUGCUACGUGUGCACGACGGAUUUCAAGAAAUUAAAGAAACAUAAGUGCUGUCAGGAUUCCUUCCUUAAAGCGGGGUUUAUAUUUUAAAGUGAAAAGUCACAACAACACAACUACUUGGACAAGAUACUAUCCCGAUGAAGAAGAAAAACGAAAUUUUAUUAUAUUAAGCUGUAACAUACAUGAUAUAGUUUUAGAAAAUAAACCAUAUAAAUUGUAA